rnacentral:tRNA from 3 species
GGGGCCGUAGGCUAGCCUGGUAGACUGCGAGGCUUGGGCCCUCGUGACCCAGGUUCAAAUCCUGGCGGCCCCACCA